UCUAAGAGUGUUGGAUCCACUCGUUAUUUAUUCUCGCUCUUACUUUUAAUUUCCAUACUUUAUUUUACUUUGUUUGCAACACGUGUUGAAUUUUUCUUCAAGUUAUAAAUUGCUGUGCUGAAGUACUUUCCUAAGUACUUUUAUUUUGAAAGCUUAAGACACAAACGAAUUUCUUCUUUUAUAUUUUUGUAGUCUUAUCGUCGAGUAUUGUCGCCUGAUUCACAGAAAGUGAAUUUAAUCUAAUUCUUGGACUUAGGUACGACGGAGAAUUCGCCAGGCCAGCGUUUCAUCCUCCAGUUAUUUUCAAACAAGAAGCUGAAUUAGUUUACAAUCAAAGCUGAAGACCAACCACUCUAAGACAUUUAUCAUCAGCCAGAAGGACGUCGCAGUAGUUGACUGCUCAAGAAGACGUAAAAACGUUUCCAGCCGGACAAAGACAUUAUUCUCCAGCCACCUUGCCCCCAACGCUCACUAGCGCACACGCCGCGCUGGGCCUUUUGGAGAGAUUUUUUGGAGCAACUUCCCUCAGCCUGUUGGAUCAGUGACGCAAAGCCGCAGUUGAGUUAAAAGCCAAGGACCUGGAAUCCUUCCAAGUUCCAUCUACAAACAAAGACCACCAGCAGCAGUCCAGGGAAGAGCAGCUGUGUCUCCACCAACAGGUUUUUCUUCAUUAGUGCGGACAGAGGAUUCUGUUUACAACAGAAUUCACCUGCCGUUACUAUUUUCUGUCAACUAGUUUGUUAUUUUGGCUGUGUUCUGGUCUGUUCUGAUGUUUGUGUUCUCUAGCUCUCCCACUAACCAAAGGAAAUAACAUGUCAAUGAUGAUAGUAAGUCUUUUGUGUUAUAUGCAUUCUUUAUUUAUGCUGUCAUUCAAGGAUUUGGCAUGUAAAAUACCACAGAGGCUUAGAUACAGGUUCACGUGCCACAUCUUUGAUUGACCAGUGAUAUUCUUACUAUAUACUGAUAUUGUUUCUGUGCUUUACCUGUUUUCAGAUGCUUAAAAGAUUUGUGUUUUUACUUUUCAAAUAAACAGCAAUUCACAAUUUAAUGAAAAUGUUUAGUCUGUACUACCAGUUAGCUGCAAAGACAACAAGUAAAGUCAGAUUGCGAAGCAUAACAAACUUAAAUGUGUUUGUAUCUCACCAUCCUAGAUACAUCAUCCCCACAGAGUAUUGCCCCUGUGGAAGCACAGGGAGACACUUUCCAUGAUGAAGCUCCACCAUGUCUAGUUCCUCCUGUCAGGCAGCCAGCAGCCCCAGUCCCAGGCCAUGAUCAGGAUGUUGCACAGUGGAACUGCUCCCAUCAGCAGAAGAUAUGGAUGAAGACUGAGCUCGAGACAUUGGGUCUGUGCCCAGGGUCAAGUCCUGACUCCGGUCCCAUUUCCGCCCAAUAUGUCAAUAUUGUUUCCCCUGCGGCCCUGGUCACUGUUAUAUGGGUCAUCUGACUCGUCUCCCCCUAACUGGUUUGCGGCGUGGUCCUCUCUCUGGGGCUGGUGCACUCCCCCCUCCUCCUCCCCUCCAUUGCUGAGGGCGGUCCCCUGCUCCUCUCCAGCUACAUCCACCUGCGCCUCCUCCGCUCCCUCCGGUGUGUGGGAUAGCGAUCUUCCUCCGGUGCUGGGUCCAUCUUCAGUAGCAGCUGGUUUAAAAACUCCGGUGAGCUUUGGGA